CCCAGUCCAAACAUAAAAAAAAAAGUUGAACUUUGUGGUGAAACGUGUGUUGUUGGUUUCUUAUUGGAAAAAGAGAACAUGAGCCUUACCUUUAUUUACGUGAUAGUCGUAGUUGUUAACAUUGUGGUAUUUGCAAUUACUGAUUGCUGUCCUCGUGACGGAGGUGAAAGGAGAGAAGCAUCUGGUGGUGACGAUGUCCCGGUGAAGGUAUAGUAGGCUAGUAGUGGUGGCGAGGACAACGGCGGAAGAUGUGGUGGUGACGGUUAGGGAUGCUAUUUGAGGUUUUUUUUUUUUUUUUUUUACUUUUAAUAUUAGGAUUAGUAAACUAUCUCAUACACUAGCUUUGUCGUGAUGUCCUAAACUUAAUUUCUUUUGGGCAAACAGAUUUACUUGAUUUUUAAUCCGCGUUCUCAAAUAUAAUUCUAACUCGUCCCGUUAUACAACACGUGUACGUUAUUUCUAAAACAAAAGAAAUUGUAAUCAGAAUCCUUUCGCACUUGAUUAGUAAUUGGAAACCGAAGCAUGUGGAACAACAGAGUAAUUGCUUGGUAACGGAUCUUCUUGUGCUGCAGGAUUUGAAGUGGUGAGACUCACUUUGACUUUCUUUAUGAAAUAGUUGGUGAUAGUUCUUUUGAUUCGACCAUUUAUUUUAAAAAAAAAAAAAAAAAAACUUCUUCAUUAAGAAUCCAAUAGAGUUUCAUGAUAUUUUUUCCGAAAAUUUUCAAACACAAGAAUUUCUCAAGUUUCAUUCAUGAACUUAAUACUUAUGUAUAUACUUUUUUUUUCCUAAAUACUUAUGUAUAUUUUUCUUAACGUUUUUCCUCAAA
rnacentral:lncRNA from 1 species